UGGGGAAUUUUGGACAAUGGACGAAAGUCUGAUCCAGCAAUGCCGCGUGCAGGACGAAGGCCUUCGGGUUGUAAACUGCUUUUGUACGGAACGAAACGGUCUGCUUUAAUACAGUGGGCUAAUGACGGUACCGUAAGAAUAAGCACCGGCUAACUACGUGCCAGCAGCCGCGGUAAUACGUAGGGUGCGAGCGUUAAUCGGAAUUACUGGGCGUAAAGCGUGCGCAGGCGGUUAUAUAAGACAGAUGUGAAAUCCCCGGGCUCAACCUGGGACCUGCAUUUGUGACUGUAUAGCUAGAGUACGGUAGAGGGGGAUGGAAUUCCGCGUGUAGCAGUGAAAUGCGUAGAUAUGCGGAGGAACACCGAUGGCGAAGGCAAUCCCCUGGACCUGUACUGACGCUCAUGCACGAAAGCGUGGGGAGCAAACAGGAUUAGAUACCCAAGUAGUCCCUGAGCGGGCUGGCAAGGCGCAU
rnacentral:rRNA from 1 species